rnacentral:rRNA from 1 species
UACGUAGGGUGCGAGCGUUGUCCGGAAUUAUUGGGCGUAAAGGGCUUGUAGGCGGUCUGUCGCGUCUGCUGUGAAAAUCCGGGGCUCAACCCCGGACUGCAGUGGGUACGGGCAGACUAGAGUGUGGUAGGGGAGACUGGAAUUCCUGGUGUAGCGGUGAAAUGCGCAGAUAUCAGGAGGAACACCGAUGGCGAAGGCAGGUCUCUGGACAGUUCCUGACACUGAGACACGAAGGCCAGGGGAGCAAACGGGG